GAGAGAAUCAAGGGAGCUCACUUGAUAGAAACUAUGGAGAAGACAGAUCGCAAGUGAAGAACACCUUCUUUCUUGAAGAAGUAUUAAAUGUUUUAUGAAAAAAAAUUACAAAAAUAAUUUUAUAAUGUGUAAAUUUGGAGACAUUGUUUAGAGAAACUGAAGAUAAUGUUUUCUUGUUAUGACUCGAGAGAAGCUGGAGAAAGCAGAGAAGGAGAAACUACUGUGGGGACAACAGGACGGUGGAUAGAGCACUACAGGAAAAUCUUUGUUCCAGCCCUGACUAGUUGUGUGCUUCUGGGCCAAUCACUUAACCUCUGUUUAUCUUGGUUCCUCAUCUGUAAAAUGGGGACAUACUGGAGAAGGUAAUGGCAAUCCAUUCCAGGACUUUUGCCAAGAAAACAUGAUGACUUGGACACAACCAAAUGACCCUACAACAACAAAAGCAUCUAACUCAGUUCUAGGCCCAGAAAGAGAAAAAUAAAUGUUGAUUAUUUCUA